UACGAAGGGGGCUAGCGUUGCUCGGAAUCACUGGGCGUAAAGCGCACGUAGGGACGUAUCGAAGUCAGGGGUGAAAUCCUGGAGCUCAACUCCAGAACUGCCCUUGAUACUGGCGAUCUCGAGUCCGGGAGAGGUGAGUGGAACUGCGAGUGUAGAGGUGAAAUUCGUAGAUAUUCGCAAGAACACCAGUGGCGAAGGCGGCUCACUGGCCCGGUACUGACGCUGAGGUGCGAAAGCGUGGGGAG
rnacentral:rRNA from 1 species